CCUACGGGUGGCUGCAGUGGGGAAUAUUGGACAAUGGGGGGAACCCUGAUCCAGCCAUGCCGCGUGUGUGAAGAAGGCCCUCGGGUUGUAAAGCACUUUCAGUGAGGAAGAACGCCUGGUGGUUAAUACCCAUCAGGAAAGACAUCACUCACAGAAGAAGCACCGGCUAACUCCGUGCCAGCAGCCGCGGUAAUACGGAGGGGGCGAGCGUUAAUCGGAAUUACUGGGCGUAAAGCGCGCGUAGGUGGCUUGAUAAGCCGGUUGUGAAAGCCCCGGGCUCAACCUGGGAACGGCAUCCGGAACUGUCAAGCUAGAGUGCAGGAGAGGAAGGUAGAAUUCCCGGUGUAGCGGUGAAAUGCGUAGAGAUCGGGAGGAAGACCAGUGGCGAAGGCGGCCUUCUGGACUGACACUGACACUGAGGUGCGAAAGCGUGGGUAGCAAACAGGAUUAGAUACCCGAGUAGUC
rnacentral:rRNA from 1 species